rnacentral:rRNA from 1 species
CUCAGAACGAACGCUGGCGGCAUGCCUAACACAUGCAAGUCGAACGCGUGUAGCAAUACACGAGUGGCGGACGGGUGAGUAACGCGUGGGAACCUGCCCAGUGGUAGGGAAUAACUGCGGGAAACUGCAGCUAAUACCCUAUGCACCCUAUGGGGGAAAGAUUUAUCGCCAUUGGAGGGGCCCGCGUCGGAUUAGCUAGUUGGUAGGGUAACGGCCUACCAAGGCGACGAUCCGUAGCUGGUCUGAGAGGAUGAUCAGCCACACUGGGACUGAGAUACGGCCCAGACUCCUACGGGAGGCAGCAGUGGGGAAUAUUGGACAAUGGGGGAAACCCUGAUCCAGCAAUGCCGCGUGAGUGAAGAAGGCCUUAGGGUUGUAAAGCUCUUUCGGCGGGGACGAUGAUGACGGUACCCGCAGAAGAAGCCCCGGCUAACUUCGUGCCAGCAGCCGCGGUAAUACGAAGGGGGCUAGCGUUGUUCGGAAUCACUGGGCGUAAAGGGCGCGUAGGCGGCUUGACAAGUCAGGUGUGAAAGCCCCGGGCUCAACCCGGGAAUUGCACUUGAUACUGACUCGCUCGAGUCCGGGAGAGGAUGGCGGAAUUCCCAGUGUAGAGGUGAAAUUCGUAGAUAUUGGGAAGAACACCGGUGGCGAAGGCGGCCAUCUGGACCGGUACUGACGCUGAGGCGCGAAAGCGUGGGGAGCAAACAGGAUUAGAUACCCUGGUAGUCCACGCCGUAAACGAUGAGUGCUAGACGUCGGGGGGUUCACCCUCCGGUGUCGCAGCUAACGCUUUAAGCACUCCGCCUGGGGAGUACGGUCGCAAGAUUAAAACUCAAAGGAACUGACGGAAGAUAGGAUUCUGAAUAGUCCACACCAUGAAACAUCUCGAGCAGGCAUCAGCUAU